UACGAAGGGGGCUAGCGUUGCUCGGAAUCACUGGGCGUAAAGCGCACGUAGGCGGUUCUUUAAGUCAGGGGUGAAAUCCUGGAGCUCAACUCCAGAACUGCCUUUGAUACUGAGGAUCUUGAGUCCGGGAGAGGUGAGUGGAACUGCGAGUGUAGAGGUGAAAUUCGUAGAUAUUCGCAAGAACACCAGUGGCGAAGGCGGCUCACUGGCCCGGUACUGACGCUGAGGCACGAAAGCGUGGGGAGCAAACAGG
rnacentral:rRNA from 1 species